ACGAACGCUGGCGGCGUGCUUAACACAUGCAAGUCGAACGGAAAGGCCCUGCUUUUGUGGGGUGCUCGAGUGGCGAACGGGUGAGUAACACGUGAGUAACCUGCCCUUGACUUUGGGAUAACUUCAGGAAACUGGGGCUAAUACCGGAUAGGAGCUCCUGCUGCAUGGUGGGGGUUGGAAAGUUUCGGCGGUUGGGGAUGGACUCGCGGCUUAUCAGCUUGUUGGUGGGGUAGUGGCUUACCAAGGCUUUGACGGGUAGCCGGCCUGAGAGGGUGACCGGCCACAUUGGGACUAAGAUACGGCCCAGACUCCUACGGGAGGCAGCAGUGGGGAAUAUUGCACAAUGGGCGGAAGCCUGAUGCAGCAACGCCGCGUGCGGGAUGACGGCCUUCGGGUUGUAAACCGCUUUCGCCUGUGACGAAGCGUGAGUGACGGUAAUGGGUAAAGAAGCACCGGCUAACUACGUG
rnacentral:rRNA from 1 species